CACAGCUGGGCAAGGGAGGGGAUUGUCCCACUCUGCUCUGAGCUGGGGCGGCCUCAGCUCAAGUCCUUUGGGCAGUUUUAGGCAAAACAGUGUAAGAAAGAUGUAAAGCUAUUGGAGAGCAUCUAAAGAAGGACUAUGAAGCUGAUGAAGGAUGUAGGGGGGAAGCCCUAUGAGGAGCAGCUGAGGCGUAUCCAGUCUGGAGAAGAGGAGGCUGAGGGGAAACUUCACUGAAGUCUACAACUUCCUCUUGCUUAUUAAUUUGGUCAUGUUAAGCAGCUCUUAAGGCAGCCUGGGAGCCAGUAGAUGGCACUCAUUCCCCUUGGCAUUUAACCAUUUGAGGACCAAAGAUCCUUGCUUGUUGGAACUGUGGCAUGCCAUAUAGAAUUGAAGACUUAAGUCCCAGUUACUGCAUUCAUCAAAAAUGCUAAACUCAUAUAAAAAGAGCAAAAGAAAGAGCAAAGAAUCACACAUUCCUAGCAAUUUGGAAUACUGUCUACCUUUCUCCAGGCAGCCCCAGAAAUCCUGCCAGAAACCUGUGGAUAAAUACAUUGAGUAUGAUCCUGUUAUCAUCUUGAUUAAUGCUGUUUUAUGCAAAGCACAAGCAUACAGGCACAUUCUUUUCAAUACAAAGAUAAAUAUUCAUGGGAAGCUCUGCAUAUUUUGUUUGCUCUGUGAAGCUUAUAUCAGGUGGUUGCAACUACAGGAUUCAAGCCAAAAUACAGAUCCUGAUGACUUAAUCAGAUAUGCCAAAGAAUGGGAUUUUUAUAGAAUGUUUGGCAUAGCUUCUUUAGAACAAACUUCAUUUUUCAUUGGCAUUUUUAUUACCUUGUGGUGGGUGACACCUGAGAUGCUGAAAAGAAAGUCAGACUUCAUUUUACUUCUCAAAGCACUGCUGUUGUCCACCUAUGGAAAGCUUCUGCUAAUUCCAGCUGUUAUUUGGGAGCACGACUACACACCUUUGUGCCUUGCAUUUAUAAAAGUGUUUGUCUUGAUAUCAAACUCUCAGGCAAUUAGAGUUACUUUGAACUUGAACCGAAUACUUCCUUGGUUUGCCAUCUUCUUUGGAUUAAUUUUGGAAAAUGGCGUGGUCUGCUUGUUCCAGAAAAUGGGAUGGGAUGUUUGAAAUGUCAGCCCAGUGAAGAAAUGCCAACAAGAUGAUGAUAAUUUUCUAAGAAUGAUCUCUGCCAGCAGGCUCCAAUAACACUGUUUUCACUGGGAUAAAGAAGAACACUAGAAUGGACAGGAAUACAUUGUGAAAGCAGCAGUGUACCUAUUGUGUCACCUACACUGACAGCGUAUCAGUUUUGCACUCUAAUGCUGCCAGGAGCCACCACUGCCCUUACACAACUUUGAAGCAAGAGAAGACUACUAAAAGCUACAGAGCUGUGGAACAAAAGCAGGUGUGGUACAGGUUCUCAGUCUUCAGAGGCAUCAUUAGUAAUGUAAGGCAUUCAGCAUUGUUUGGUGUUAAAGCUACUCAUUUACCAAAAGUAAAAUGACAAAUACACUAAUAUUUCAUAAAUCUAGGGUGAGCUUAAGAGAGAAGCUUUAGAGAGAACCAAGAUUACUUUAAGGUUCUGCCUGUUUAUCACAUCUCUCUUGCUUUUCCUUCUUUUUGUCUUUUGAACUCAUAUUUUUCCCAUUAACUUUUUGUAAUGAAACAGUUUCCUGUGCUGGAAGAUGGAUGGCAAAUAGCCCUUUCUGUGUAUCAUUAUUUGUUUCAUUAGCUUAUAGGAGAGGAUUUAUUUGAGUUAAAAAUACAGCAGCCUGGAAGUGAGCCUAUAGAAACUCCUUAAGUUUUGCUUGGAAUCAGAAGGGGUAUUGUGGCCUGUGGAGCAAAUUCAGAACAUUGCAUGAAAUGUACAGAAGAACCAGGGGUGUUAUUGAGACUUGGAUUGAGCAGUGGCUCAGUGAUUGUGCAGUGGGUGCUGGGCACUUCUGUGGGUGCAGAGGCCAUGUAGCAAGUAUUUAGAAAUUAGUGUUUGCAAAACUGGAGAAUUACAGUAAAAGUUAGGGAGGGUUAAGAGAGAAGGCAGGAAUCUGGCAGACUUCUACAAAAUUAAGAUGGCAAUAAAAACUAAGGAGAUAGCAUCUCAAGAAAAAUAUGGAAGAAAAUACAAAUUAUAGAUGAGUGUAUAAUUAUGCAAAUAUAAAAACAUUCUACUCCCAAGUUUACAAAUUAUGAACAUGAAAGAAGAGUAGAAUUUACUGCAGACAUUUUUGCAAUAGUCUGACACCACAAGACAUAGCAAAAGAUGUCUUCCAAGCAGUAAAGUCUAUGAGUUUUCCCUAGAAAAAAUACCAGUAACCUCAUUACUUCAAUGGUUUGCACUAUAGCCUUGAAAAUACACUUUUAUAAGGCAGAACUACCAAUUGCACAGCGAUAGCAUUAGUCACUGAGUAGGAAGAGCUGUGCAACAGCAGAGAUUCUCCCUUCAUUCUGCAUUAGUGCGUGCUACAUGAGGCUUUACUGGUGCAAGGGCUACUACCCUUGUGACCUCCUGCACAUACAGACAAGGGAGCCCUUUCUUGCACACAUGCUCUAGCUCAGAGGCAUAUAAGCUGCCAUUUGUUACCCCAGUCUCCACCAAACUGAAAAUAAAGUAGGACAUCUGUACUGGAAAACUAUUAGCCGAUUUCUCAUAAAACAAGCAGGCCCUUGUUUCUCAGGGGCUUGCCUGCUUUUGCAUUCCUUGAGCCCUCCCUGGCAGGAUAGUGCUAAGCACUGCAGUGCCAUCUGGAGUUGAUAAGGAAACCUCUGUUGAUAAGGAAACCUGUUGAUUUCAAAACUGGAAGGAACACACAGACACUUAGGUGGUCUUUGAUUAAUUUUUGUUUUUUAAGAUCACAAAUCCAAGCUUUUAAAAAUGAACACCCAUCUUCAGUUUAGAGAAAUGUGAGAAUGAAAUUAGUGAUGAAAAACCAGUCACAAAAUAGUUGUUUUGGUGACUUGGUAUCAAGGUUAAUUCAAGAUACAACCACAAAAGCUAUAAAAUGCAAAUUAUUUCAGGACAACAUCUAAAAACCUACAUAGUCCCACAAGCUGGGAUUAUUCUGAGUCUUGUUGACUCUUCAAAAAUUCAUAUGGCAAGAGAGAGAAUGAAUGCAUUCCUCUGCUGCUAAAAAUCAAUAGGAUCUUUGUUUAUGAAUUAAUUUGAAACUCGGGUUUCUGCAGUUAAAAUUUGCAGGAAGCUGUAUAUAACAAGAUUCCCAUUUUCUCUCAUGCCUCUUAGCUGUUCUGACCUUCUUAGUUUUUCCAGUAAUGCUCACUGUCUUACUGAGGUGACAAGAAAGAAGAUGGGAACAUAAGGAGCUUCAUAAAGUCUUUUUCCUAAACAUGAUCUGCUGUCCUAAAUUUGUAAAGUUUUUUUUGAGCUCUGUGUAGACAAAUGACAGGUCUGCAAAGCAACUGUGGAAUACUGCUAAUAACAUUUUAAUUGCUGUUCAUUAGAAUAAUAGAUAUUGUUUGGGUUUGUUUUUUUUUUCCCCUGGGCAAAAAUGCGAUUUAAAUUCCUUUACAUAGAAGCAUAAGAGUGUGAACUUCAGAGCUGUCACAUGUGUUGGCUGCUGCUGAAAUAAAUCCAAAUGAUCCCCUUGAUUUCUUACAAUCUCUAACUGUAAUUCUAAGGACAAUUUUUAGACAAAAGAACUGUUUUGCUGCACAGAAGUUCAUGCCAUGGCGCUCUGAGCACAGGACUGGGGACCUGAAUUAAGACCUGAAUCCUAAUCCUGGCUUUAAGACCGACCAGUGCCGUGACCUUGAGCAAGUAAUAUAUGUGGCUCCAUAAAGUGAUUGUAUCUCCACCAUCACAGGAUUUGGGGGAGGAUUAAUUUGUUCAUGUCUGCUUAGAAAGAUGAAAAGCAUUAAGUCCUUUCAGCUGCAGGUUGUUAGGAGUCAGUCAACACCGUGAAUGUCAGAUAGGAAACAGACAUGCCAGGAGCCAGAAAAUGUGAAUAUUAAAGGUGACAUGUUUAAAGUCUUUGUUACACUAAGGGGAGCUUUAAUUCUGACCCUCACUGGCAUGCAGUUCUGGAAUGUACACAUCUGAAGACUUUUAGGGGUAUAUACAGCAAAUCACUAAUCCCUUAUUAUGAUUUUGAAGUUAUUGCAGCUGUUGUGUGCCAAAAUAAAUCUGAAGUUAAUUUAAAACCUUGGAGCAAAGGGAAGUGGCACAUUAGCUGAUCUUACUUUCAGCUAUCUAAAAGAAAAAAUAUCUAAAAGAAAAAUAAGAAAAAAUACUUUAUUUGAAAGUUUGAGACUUUCAGUUAGAAAGCACUGGUACAUUUUGCAGAAAAAUAUUUCUUAAAGAAAUACUAAAAACCAUUGGUAUCUUUUCAGCAAACAAAUUCAAAAACAUCACUCAGAUUUAAACAAGAAAAUUAAAUCUCAGCAACAUAGAAGCACUUCUACUCACCUUGCACUCCUUCCUCAGAACUGCUUAUUCACUCUGUAAGCAUCUGUGGGUGUUACCUUUAUAGUGAUUCCCUGCCAGGCAAGCUGCAGCCCAUCUGAUGCUGUCAUUCAUGCAUCACUCCUUAACUUUGAUCCUUUCUUUGGUCUCUCACUUCACUUCCAGAAUAAAGCCUCGGUUCUAACCAUCAAAGCCACAUAUAUAUCAUGUCUUGGCUACAGCAGAGAUAGUCUCUCUUUCUCUCAGUAGGGCUGCAGCAUUCUUUUGAUCACUGAAAAUCAAAAGCCAACAGAAGUGUAGUAAUAACUAGGAAGAAAACAUUUCCCAUUGAGAACAUCCACUGCAUAAUAAUGCCACAUACCAGCACCAGAAAAAAUAUUUUGGAUUUUGCAAGAUAGGGACCAAAAGUGAAUGUGUCACAUUGAGCAUACACCUUAUAAAUUUGUCCAAAGCAGGAAUCUGUUUCCACCUAAGGACAUUUAUCCUACUUAGUAGUGUGAAAAUGGCAGAUGGGUUGCACAGCAAGGAAAGCACAAUCCAUCUCUUACUCAUCUUGUCCUGGGAGAGAGCAAAAUGAAAAUAAAACAUUGAUGACUCAUGAAGAAUUUUUUCAGGAAUGGUGGAUGUUAUUUGAACCCUUUUCUUUAGAGAAGCAAAUUAAUUUGCUGUGGACGAACACAAUGGCAGAUAUUUCUUUACACAACCACAUGCCAAGACUUAGUUUGUACUAAAACUCUCAGCUUUUCAAAUGUAUUUUGCACUUCUUUAAGUAGAUUUUUUCCUAAAAUAGUUUUCUGCUCAACUGAAUUGUGUAAUUUAUAUAAAUGAUGUGUGUGUGUGUGUGUGUAUAGAUGGAAGGAGAGGGAAGGUCAAUCUGUGUUCCUACAGCCUGUGCAUUUUCUGCCUUAUCUAUGUAUGAAAUGGUGCAGCUUCUGUUUGUUUAAAGGUCCUACACUGAAAGAAAAGGCCACCAGCAAGAAAAGCACCUUCCUCCCACAAUAGUUUGAGUAUUGUGCAACAGAACAGAUUGUAUCAGUUUAAAAAAAAAAAGUCACAUCCCUGAUAAAACAGUAUCAGAAGCUUGUAGAGAUCACGUCUCCCUUCUCUCAUUGUUACUCAGCUACUUUUAUGUAACAAAAUGCCAGCAUGGUGAUUCUAAUCUAAUUCAGCUGCACAAGCACGCUGACUGAAAGUCCAGAGGGGUGUUUUUAAUCCUCUCCAACACGACCUAAUGAGGAUGGCAAAACAGGAAGCCCUCGUGCACAGAUCCUUCCUCACUAUGAUGGCAGAGUGGAAGGUGCCAUCUGUCAUUUCAUGCCAUUAUAUUGGAAAGUGCUAUCUCCUCUAAACUCCUUGCAGCAGCUGCUCCUGAAGGCUCAGCUCUUUGUCCUGAGCAGGCAGCUGCCUCUGCCACCCCCUUGGGAACAGUUUUGUUUUCACAGAAUCAGUCAGGGCUAGAAGUGAUCUCAGAGGUCGUCUGGUCCUUCCGCCAGCCGCUGGGAUGGAUAGGCACUCCUGACAGAUGUUCUCCCUGGCAGGCAGAGAUUCUGGCUCUCUGAGACCAAACCUAAGCUGCCUUUCCUACAUUAGGAGACCUAUCAGCUCCUAAUGCGUGUAGUGGCAGUUUGAUGCCAGUUAUUUUUCAACUAUGACCAUUUAUUCAAGCAAUAUGAUUUUGUGAAAAUACAAGCUUUUACUUGAGGAAUCUGUUGUGAAGAUGGCGGCUUUGUCUUUUAGAAACAUUCUGUCCUUCAGUUUUAUUAUCCAGGUUGCAUGCUUCCUAUUCCACUACCCCCUGUUUAACCUUGCUAAACCACUAACACGAAAAUCCAUUAAAUUCCAUGGGUGCAAGACCAAAAAGCAUUAAAGAUUUAAUUUUAAAUUAACAAGGCAGCCUGCACCUCUUAGGAUCUACUACAGACUUUCUGUAAGGACAUGGGCACUGGGUAACACCAUUAAGCUGAAACGAAAACAGAAUCAGUGCCUACAAAAUUAAAGUAAUUCAGAGAACGAGAGAAUGGGCAUGGUGCAUUGAGAUCUCUUUUCCUUUAGAAUAAAUGCAUCAGUACAAACUCCCUCCUAAUUUGCAAAAGAAAUUGUAGUGUAAAUUUUCAUUAGUGGGCACACUUUUUAACAGAUGCUUAUACUAAUAAAUGUCUGUGAUAAUAACGAGAUAUGCUUGGCUUCUCUAACACCGAUUGAUGUAUUCUGCACGUACACACCUGCAUUCAAAAGCACAGAAAAGAGUAUUAUUCUCUAUGAGAAGAAGGAACAUUGAAAGCCUCAAACAGUCCUGCAUUUGCAACAGAAACAGAAAGGACUUUUUGAAUGACUGGCCAGUGAUAAGUGAAAAAAAGUCCUAUUGUGUAACCACACAAAGCACUGGAGACAAGACAAACCCAUUUACAUAUGAGAACUCAGAGCUCGAGCAAAUCCUAUAAGAAACUACAUGAGACAGAAUAAAAGAUAUGCAAAAAACAGAAUUCCUUCUUCCCCACAGAGAUUACUGCAAAUUUCUACUUCUCUCAUUUAUCCUUAAGGGUUAAUCCUGUAUGCAAGCAACUGUGCAAUGAUGGUCUCCAAAAAUAUGCCAGAACUCUGUUCUUAAAUGUCUUUCCUCUUCUAAAAAUGCACACAAAUUAUACAUUGAGUAAGUGCUAUAUAUUCCAUUCUCUCUACAGGUUAUAUGUAUGAUGCAAGGUAUUUAAGGAAAUGCUUCUCCAAAGAGCAAGGUUAUUUUAAAGAUACAAGUCAAGAUUGUGUCUGAUUUGUACCGUACUAACAGAAGAAAAAGGAAUAGCAAGACCCUUGGAAAGAACAUAGACAUGCUGUGUUCAUACAGGACAAAAAUCACAUGGCAACAGAGCUUUGAUAUUCUAAUGCUAUGAGAAAUUAAUUUUCUCUCUGAUUUGAUAUACUGUUUUUUUCAGCUGAUUCUGAUAAAAUGUCCUUCCCCUAUACCAAACUAUUUUAAUAUUUCAAUUGUUACCUCUAGUGUAACAUAGCAUAUAAGAAGUAAUUUUAUUCUACAAUACAAACAGCCUUUGAUCUUGUUCAGGAGUAAUGGAACAAAGGUUAAAAUUUGGUCCUGUUUAAGCUGUACUUUACCUGUUCAGAACUUCACUUAUUAGCUCACCUCUGCAUGCAAUGUUUGAAUUUUCCAAUAUCCAUAAGCCCUUUCAGUACAAAUAAUUAGUGCUUUGUUAAAAUCAGGAUUCAGAUAACCAAAGAUACUGUAAAGGGUUGAGAGAAAAAAAACCCAACAAAAUAUACUGUCCCUGUCACACAGGUAUUUUCAUAACUGAAGUAACAACCUUACUACACUGCCUGCUUGUGAAUGAUUUAAAAGGUUCUGCUGUUUGACGAGUCAGAAGAGUUUAAGCAAGAGCUGGUAGGGCUCAGACAGGCAACUUUAUUGUUUAUGACAGUGCCUGGUAUCCUGAGCCAAAAGGAGCUCACAAAUUCUUACUCAUGUGUCUAGCCAGAUAAUCACAGGGACGUUUCUGACCUGUGGAAGAAAUGCUUGUGAUUUCUGAAAGUGAGCAGUUAGUACUGCAAGGAGGUUUGAACUGCUAACAUGAAUUUAAGGCAGUAGUUUGACAUAGAACUGAAUUCUCUAUGCACUAACAAUUCCAAACAGUCUGCUUCGGCCACUUAAUUCUAACAAUCCAUUAUUUGCAUGGGAUUUCUCCUCUCAUGCUGAACUGAGGGGUUCUGAAAGAUUACAUUUGCUUGAAGACAUCUUAAUAAAGUCUUAGCACAAGUGCAUUUAAAAUCUGGCAAAAAUUCAAAGAAACAAAAUAGUUACAAGUUUGUAUUUUUCGGUAGCAGAUGGCUUUGUCUUUUUAACUCGCAUACCAACCUUAUCUGAAAAAUGUAAAUUCUACUGCUUAAAAGCACAUUCCUCUGAAAUCAGAUGUGGGCUUCAUUACUUAGGGCUGCUUGUUUCCACAUUCAUUUAAUUAAGUUUUGUAUAUAGAACAGAUGAAAGAGAAGGGGACAAAAAACUAAGGGAAGGAGACUUCUGCAGUGAAUAUUCAUCCCCUCCAAAGUUCCUCUGUCAUUUAAAACCAAAUAGCCAAACUCACUGCUGAGUGAGUCAUCUCAGUGAGAGCCCCUUGCUAAUCCUCUUCAUUCCUUACAAGAUGCAGUUGCCCCACAAGCUGCAGGUGCCAGUCCAGCACACAUCCAGCUUCACUUAGGCUUUAAUCUCUAGAGCACAUCUGCGUUCUGUGGGGCCACCUCGGCUCUUCCAGACCACCUCAGCUCAGGUGAGUGUGUCCCUACACGCAGAUCCCCCAGGCUCUUUCAGCCAUGGCAGAACCCAGCCCUCACAGGAGACCCUGCGUGCUUGUAAAGCUGCCUGCAGAGUUGGAGUGGCCAGGAUCAUAGAAUAAGCAGUUAAGAGGCUUUACUGCAUAUGGAGCUUGGAAACUCACAGAAAAUGUUAAAUUCAAUAGAAGAUUACUUUGCAAAUAAGAGGAAUCUUAACUAAUUUGCUAAGAAAACAAGUUAUUUCUUUAGGUCUUGCAGUGUUGUCCAGAGUUAAAUGUAGUAACUUCAAAUAAACCAAAUGUA